ensembl:miRNA
UCAGCCUGUGGUACUCAAACUACGGUGGCACUUUUUGUUUGGAAUAAAGUGCCACCAGGUUUUGAGCAUCACCGGUUCA